rnacentral:rRNA from 1 species
GACGAACGCUGGCGGCGUGCUUAACACAUGCAAGUCGAACGGAAAGGCCCUGCUUGCAGGGUACUCGAGUGGCGAACGGGUGAGUAACACGUGGGUGAUCUGCCCUGCACUUCGGGAUAAGCCUGGGAAACUGGGUCUAAUACCGGAUAGGAGCCAUUUUUAGUGUGAUGGUUGGAAAGUUUUGUCGGUGUAGGAUGAGCUCGCGGCCUAUCAGCUUGUUGGUGGGGUAAUGGCCUACCAAGGCGGCGGCGGGUAGCCGGCCUGGGAGGGUGGACGGCCACAUUGGGACUGAGAUACGGCCCAGACUCCUACGGGAGGGAGCAGGGGGGAAGAUUGCACAAGGGGCGCAAGCCUGAUGCAGCGACGCCGCGGGGGGGAUGACGGCCUUCGGGUUGGAAACUCGUUUCGCUAGGGACGGAGCUUUUUGUGACGGUACCUAGAUAAGAAGCACCGGCUAACUACGUG